rnacentral:lncRNA from 1 species
UGGACCGAGCUCUUCACAUGGGUCACUGCCACUUCGCAAUUCCCUCCAGUGGCCCAAAGCCACGCACAAUGGACUCUAGCCUCACAUGGACCGCUCGCGCACUCAAUCCACUCAACCGCGUGGACAGCGUCGGUACUUCCUAAUUAGGGCGCUCUCUGCACCUAUUUAAAGAGCUCUUCAGUGAACAAUUGAGGGGAGAGACAAUCUCUUACAUUUGGCAAUUCUGCCAGCCUCUGCGCUCCAUCGGUUCUCUCUUUUCCUUUUAUUUUUAUUUUUCUGUUUUUAAAUCGGCCAUGAAUAGUUGAUUUCUUUAAUCUAGUUGGAUAUUGGUUGAAGUUUUAGUUGUUUAAUGGGUUGUGAGACUUGAUCAAAUAUUGUUUAAUUUUUGGGAAUUCAAUAUUCAUGCAAUUUCAUAUUUAAUUCUCAUAUUAAUUUGUUAUUGAGAUCUACGUUGAUUUUUUAUUGCAAAAUAAUUAUUUGUUAGUUUGAAUAAUUUAAGUCCGUAAUUGCUUGGGUUAUUCUUACAUGAGAACAC